rnacentral:rRNA from 1 species
GUAGGGUGCGAGCGUUAUCCGGAAUCAUUGGGCGUAAAGAGCUCGUAGGCGGUUCAGCAAGUCGGCUGUGAAAUUCCGAGGCUCAACCUCGGAACUGCAGUCGAUACUGUUGUGACUCGAGUCCGGUAGAGGAGAAUGGAAUUCCCGGUGUAGCGGUGAAAUGCGCAGACAUCGGGAGGAACACCAGUAGCGAAGGCGGUUCUCUGGGCCGGCACUGACGCUGAGGAGCGAAAGCGUGGGGGUAGCAAACAGGAUUAGAUACCCUGGUAGUCCACGCCGUAAACGUUGGAUACUAGGUGUGGCGUUCCGACCAACGGUCGCCGUGCCGAAGCUAACGCAUUAAGUAUCCCCGCCUGGGAGUACGGCCGCAAGGCUA